UACGGGGGGAGCAAGCGUUGUUCGGAUUUACUGGGCGUAAAGGGCGCGUAGGCGGCCACCGCAAGUCGACUGUGAAAUCUCCGGGCUUAACCCGGAAAGGUCAGCCGAUACUGCGGGGCUAGAGUGCAGAAGGGGCAACUGGAAUUCUCGGUGUAGCGGUGAAAUGCGUAGAUAUCGAGAGGAACACCUGCGGCGAAGGCGGGUUGCUGGCCGAUUUCUGACGCUGAGGCGCGAAAGCGUGGGGAGCAAACAGG
rnacentral:rRNA from 1 species